rnacentral:rRNA from 1 species
GGCGGCGUGGAUAAGACAUGCAAGUCGAACGGGGUAUUAUUUGUAGCAAUACACGUAAUGCCUAGUGGCGUAAGGGUGCGUAACACGUGGGCAAUCUGCCGAGAAGUGGGGGAUAGCUCGCCGAAAGGCGAAUUAAUACCGCAUGUGGUUAGAGAGGACAUCCUCUCGAUACCAAAGCCGGGGCAACCUGGCGCUUCUUGAUGAGCCCGCGGCCUAUCAGCUUGUUGGCGGGGUAACGGCCCACCAAGGCUAUGACGGGUAGCUGGUCUGAGAGGACGACCAGCCACACUGGAACUGAGACACGGUCCAGACACCUACGGGUGGCAGCAGUCGAGAAUUUUUCUCAAUGGGGGAAACCCUGAAGGANCGACGCCGCGUGGAGGAUGAANGUCUUCGGACUGUAAACUCCUGUCAUUUGGGAACAAGUUGCAUCGGUUAACUGCCGGUGCAUUGAU